rnacentral:rRNA from 1 species
AUUGAACGCUGGCGGCAGGCUUAACACAUGCAAGUCGAGCGGGGGAAGGUAGCUUGCUACCGGACCUAGCGGCGGACGGGUGAGUAAUGCUUAGGAAUCUGCCUAUUAGUGGGGGACAACAUCUCGAAAGGGAUGCUAAUACCGCAUACGUCCUACGGGAGAAAGCAGGGGAUCUUCGGACCUUGCGCUAAUAGAUGAGCCUAAGUCGGAUUAGCUAGUUGGUGGGGUAAAGGCCUACCAAGGCGACGAUCUGUAGCGGGUCUGAGAGGAUGAUCCGCCACACUGGGACUGAGACACGGCCCAGACUCCUACGGGAGGCAGCAGUGGGGAAUAUUGGACAAUGGGGGGAACCCUGAUCCAGCCAUGCCGCGUGUGUGAAGAAGGCCUUAUGGUUGUAAAGCACUUUAAGCGAGGAGGAGGCUACUCUAGUUAAUACCUAGGGAUAGUGGACGUUACUCGCAGAAUAAGCACCGGCUAAAGCUGUGCCAGCAGCCGCAGUAA